rnacentral:rRNA from 1 species
GACGAACGCUGGCGGCGUGCUUAACACAUGAAAGUCGAACAGAAAGGCCCUGCCUUGGUGGGGUGCUGGAGGGGCGAACGGGUGAGUAACCAGUGAGUAACCUGCCCUUGACUAUGGGAUAACUUCAGGAAACUGGGGCCAAUACCGGAUAGGAGCUCCUGAUGCAAGGGGUGGGUUGGAAAGUAUCGGCUGUUGGUGAUGGAUUCGCGGCUCAGCAGCUUGUUGGCGGGGUAGUGGUUUACCAAGUCUUUGACGGGUAGCCGGCCUGAGAGGUUGACCGGCCACCUGGCGCCUGCGAUACGGCGCAGACUCCUACGGUCGGCAGCAGUCGGGAAUCUUGCACAAUAGGCGGAAGUGUGAUGCAGCAGCGCCGCGUGCGGGAUGCCGUCCUUCGAGUUGUAAACCACUUUCGCCUGUGCUGAAGCGUGAUUGACGGUACUGGGUCAAGAAGCACCGGCUAACUACGUG